UCAAAGACUCCUUUAGGAGUCACUAAAUAUUUCUAAACCCUUAUCU
rfam:Gossypium raimondii chromosome 12, whole genome shotgun sequence.